GUAGGUGAACCUGCGGAAGGAUCAUUAACGAAUAAACUUGGUGGACUGUUGCUGGCUCCUCAGGGGGCAUGUGCACGUCUGUCAUCUUUAUCUUUCCACCUGUGCACUUUGUGUAGAACUUGGGAGACCAUUUAACCUUUCUGAGGCAGCUCAGUCGUGAGGAUCUGCAGGCCCCCAUGUGUAGGGGUCAGCUUUCCUUGGAGGGUUCCCCAAGGCUCUAUGUUUUUCACAUACACCGAAUGAAAUGUAA
rnacentral:misc_RNA from 1 species